AAAAGUGACCGCCCGUCCCGGGACCGUGCCGCUCCGGCUUGUUACCCGUCUUAAAACGCGCUGGCGCCUGAGAGGUCUUCCUUCGGGACGUGACGGACAGGUACACCGCCUCGCCUUUAGCGGGGAAAAACGGCCCUCACAUCACUGCGGCACGAAGCUCGUUUGCGCAAAUAAAACUGUCACGGGUAUUCCUCCCGACCGAAAAUGUUCUCACUUGUCAAGACAAGAAGAAUUCCGAUUUGAGACUUUCACAGAAAAUAUUUCCGGAAACGGGACUCGUAGCGCGUUCUUUGCCUCACAAAUGCCUUCUCCUGUGUUUUUGAUGCAUUGUUAAUCAAGAAAAAUACUAACCAUAGGAAGUGGGGAAUUAAAAUUUUUCAAAGUGUUCACUAAGUAAGCGUGAAUCGAAUGGUUACUGAAAGGCGUGGUCAUACGGAUCUAAUUAUGCCUUUCGUCGGAACCCUUUGCAUACGGUUUUGUUUAAUCUGAAACAACAGCCCUCGUGUCAAAGCUUGGGAAGCGAUACUGGGGCUCGAUCAACGAUCUUUAUUUUCAGUCGCUGAAGUUAGAAAUGAUGCAAGUGUCCGUCUUCUUACGCGCAUCCUCGUAAAAGCUUAACGUCUGAAUGUUAAAAUCGAUGCUGCCCUAAAAGAGGCUUAAUAAAACGCUUCAUUGUUUUUUCCUCUUUCUGUUGUAAAUAACACCAACAGAGAAAGCCGUAAGGGGUGCGUCGGGCUCUCCGCUUCCAGCCCCGUGAGCUCUCUGCCCGUGUGCGCGGGGCAGGAGGUGCCGGGUGCCACCCGCGCUCCCCCGGCACGCGGAGCUGCGGGAAGGCGCCGGGCGCGCCGCGGGCUGCCUCGGUCUCCGGCUCGGCGCGCUCCCCGUCUGCACAGCGCCGGUUUUCUGCCGCGGCGGCCCGAGCUCUGCCCCCGGCCCGCUGCCCCGAUCGCGGGGCUCGGGGCGGUGCCACGCCAGCCGCGCCCGCUGCGCGCCCUCCCGCGGAGCGUGGCGCACCGCCCGCGGCUCUCCCGCCCCUGCACGCCGGCUCUUCGGCACGGACGCUUUCAUCUCGGCUGACCGGAGGCGAGCCGGGCCCGUCGGCUAGCGCGUACCCUUUGCCCGGGCAGAAAACAGCCAUGCCCGCGGAGCAGCCUCCCCGGCGGGACGCCGUUGCCUUGCACCGCACCGGUGAGCAGGGUAAGAGCGCGGCCACCACCGCCCUGGUCCCGAGGCGCCGCUCCGCAGCGGGGCCGCGGCAGGGGACGGACGGGACGGGACGGGACGGGACGGGAGGGGCCGCGCUGCCACCUUCUCGCUGCGAGGCGGCGGCAGGGAGCGCGCGCUCCCCGGGGACACGGGAGAGUGUCCGUGUCCGUGUCCGUGUCCGUGUGCACCCCCCGCCUCCCGCGGACGCUUUCUGGCUCCGGCGCCGCACGCACACCCGUCGCAGCCCGCUGCUCCGGAGCCGCGCGAGCCCUCCUCCCGCUGCCGUCCUCUGGGUUACUUCGGGACUCCACUACUCCGCGGCGCGAUAAAACCGCUUUUGCGCCUUUUCCCAUGGCUUUUCGAUGACUGGGCACCGAAGGAGCCCGCCCGCUGCCCUCCGCGGGAACCACGAGCGGGCCUCGCCCGUACAGCCCCGGCCCCCCGCCACCGGGCAGCACCUCCGGGACCACCGUCCCCCCCGGUCCCAUCCUCUCGGCCGCACUGGCUCCUCCGGCAGGGGCACCCCGGCUGCACACCGCUGUCCCAGGGGCUGCCGCGGUGAUCCGCGUCCAAGCGCUCCGUAGGUGUCGGCGAGAGCCCCGCAGAGGCCGUGCCGCUCGGGGCUGCUGGCGGCUGCGCCGGGCACCCCGGGGCCCCGGCCCCCCGCGGGCUGCCCGCUCCCUUCUCCGCGCCCGGCCCGGUGCCCACGGGCGCUGCCCUCGCCCCGGUGGCCCUGGUAAGCUGAGCUGGGGCUCCGCCGCCGGAGGAACGAGGCCGUCCCCGGGAGCCCGCUGCCAAGCCCGGUGCCAGAGCGGCGAGGGCUCCCCGCCGCCGGUACUGGCGGGCGCCAGGACCCGCCGAGCCCGCUACCUGCGGCCGCAGGCGU
rnacentral:lncRNA from 1 species